rnacentral:rRNA from 1 species
CCUACGGGAGGCAGCAGUAAGGAAUAUUGGACAAUGCUCGCAAGAGUGAUCCAGCCAUGCCGCGUGCAGGAAGAAUGCCCUAUGGGUAGUAAACUGCUUUUGAACUAGAGAAAAUCCCAGUACGUGUACUGGGCUGAUAGUAUAGUUAGAAUAAGCAUCGGCUAACUUCGUGCCAGCAGCCGCGGUAAGACGAAGGAUGCAAGCGUUAUCCGGAUUCAUUGGGUUUAAAGGGAGCGUAGGUGGACUGAUAAGUCAGUGGUGAAAUCUCCGAGCUUAACUCGGAAAUUGCCAUUGAUACUGUUGGUCUUGAGUACAGUUGCUGUGGGCGGAAUAUGACAUGUAGUGGUGAAAUACAUAGAGAUGUCAUAGAACACCGAUUGCGAAGGCAGCUCACAAAGCUGUAACUGACACUGGAGCUCGAAGUAGNGGGAGUACAACAGAUAGAUACCUACGUAGUCGCACCGUAACGAUAGUAUACUCG